rnacentral:lncRNA from 1 species
UUCAAGAAAAAAGUGAUCGCUCCAUUCGCCCGAUUCUGCUUAAAAAGGCGUUUCUUUCUUCUCUUUUAAAACGAUGAUUAGAAAAAAUACUGCUUGAAACGCUCGUCCCUUUUCAAAGGAAAGAGAGCAGUUCUGUUUUGGCAGGUUUGAACAACUUGACAUCUGGAAAGAACUUGUCACUGCUUUUUGCAAAAGUCUAUUCAAAUCUUUUCAUUUCCGCCAUCGUCCUGAACCCCCUCCUCUCACAUCAGUGUUUUCAUUGAAGCCAAAGACUCUUCCCCCAUCCCUCCCUCUUGUCGGAUGGCCAUAAAGCUAUACACGCGUGGUGGAGUGGGAGUGUGGCAGGCCGGUGGAGUUGAAGCCAGCUGUGAAGGUGUUGUAUGGAUGUAGGUUGGGCAUGCCCACCAGCGAGUUGGGGAUCAUGGUUAUGGUGUUGGGCGUCAUGAGCGGGAUAUCGUCAGGCGAGCGUCGCAGAGUCAGCGUGUAGUCGGGAAGCGAAGCCAGCCGUAAGGGGUCUCCGGGUGGCCCUGCGUCACACUCGUGGUGCGUCUGGUUGACCUGCAGGGACAUGAUCUCCUCUUCAGGGGCGUGCCGGUUCACGUCGUUGGCGGUGGUGGCUCGUGGAGGGCUGGGCUGUGGGUGCUGCUCCUGUCUGCGCUUAUCCUUGCGGUAGUACAGAGCGGCGAAUGCCAGAACGUUGAGGAACAGCAGAGAAGCUCCCACUGCGAUGGUUACGCUCAGCUCGGUGGAGUAAUCCCGUGGGUUCUCCACCAACAGAGGGCCUGGUUCCUCUUCUCCAUUCCACUGCUCCUUCCCGCUCUCGCUGUUGUAGGCUGGAGACAUCGGAGGCCGCUUGGUGUUGAACGGCCAUGCUUUGCCGUUGGGACGUUUGGUGGACAGGGAGUUCUGAGUCGUCUCGGGCGGUGGCACUUUGGUGGUGGUGGAGGUGUAGUGGAACAUGUCGUGAAGGUUGUACAGAUGAGGAACCAGGUGCUUCCAGAACGCCACUUUAGUGGCGCGGUAGUGAUCCCGGACUCGUGGCUUGAGGCCGAUGUGCAGGUACAGCUGGUCUUGCGGGUUGUAUUUGGACCAGGCUACCUCUUCGAAGCGAUUGGCCUUAGUGUGGAUGAACUUGGUGUCCU